GACAGAGGGUGCAAACGUUGUUCGGAAUUACUGGGCGUAAAGCGUGUGUAGGCGGCCAGAUCAGUCGGAUGUGAAAGCCCUGGGCUCAACCCAGGAAGUGCACUCGAUACUGUUUGGCUUGAGUACUGGAGAGGUUGGUGGAAUUCUCGGUGUAGAGGUGAAAUUCGUAGAUAUCGAGAGGAACACCGGUGGCGAAGGCGGCCAACUGGACAGAUACUGACGCUGAGACACGAAAGCGUGGGGAGCAAACAGG
rnacentral:rRNA from 1 species